rnacentral:rRNA from 1 species
UAGAUACCNUGGUAGUCCACGCCGUAAACGAUGAGUGNUAGGUGUUAGGCCCUUUCCGGGGCUUAGUGCCGCAGCUAACGCAUUAAGCACUCCGCCUGGGGAGUACGACCGCAAGGUUGAAANUCAAAGGAAUUGACGGGGGCCCGCACAAGCGGUGGAGCAUGUGGUUUAAUUCGAAGCAACGCGAAGAACCUUACCAGGUCUUGACAUCCCUCUGAUCGCUCUAGAGAUAGAGUUUUCCUUCGGGACAGAGGUGACAGGUGGUGCAUGGUUGUCGUCAGCUCGUGUCGUGAGAUGUUGGGUUANNNNNNNNNNNNGAGCGCAACCCCUAUUGUUAGUUGCCAUCAUUCAGUUAGGCACUCUAGCGAGACUGCCGGUAAUAAACCGGAGGAAGGUGGGGAUGACGUCAAAUCAUCAUGCCCCUUAUGACCUGGGCUACACACGUGCUACAAUGGCUGGUACAACGAGUCGCAAGCCGGUGACGGCAAGCUAAUCUCUGAAAGCCAGUCUCAGUUCGGAUUGUAGGCUGCAGCUCGCNUAAAUGAAGUCGGAAUCGCUAGUAAUCGCGGAUCAGCACGCCGCGGUGAAUACGUUCCCGGGCCU